AUUGAACGCUGGCGGCAGGCCUAACACAUGCAAGUCGAGCGGAUGAAGGGAGCUUGCUCCUGGAUUCAGCGGCGGACGGGUGAGUAAUGCCUAGGAAUCUGCCUGGUAAUGGGGGAUAACGUCCGGAAACGGGCGCUAAUACCGCAUACGUCCUGAGGGAGAAAGUGGGGGAUCUUCGGACCUCACGCUAUCAGAUGAGCCUAGGUCGGAUUAGCUAGUUGGUGGGGUAAAGGCCUACCAAGGCGACGAUCCGUAACUGGUCUGAGAGGAUGAUCAGUCACACUGGAACUGAGACACGGUCCAGACUCCUACGGGAGGCAGCAGUGGGGAAUAUUGGACAAUGGGCGAAAGCCUGAUCCAGCCAUGCCGCGUGUGUGAAGAAGGUCUUCGGAUUGUAAAGCACUUUAAGUUGGGAGGAAGGGCAGUAAGUUAAUACCUCGCUGUUUUGACGUUACCAACAGAAUAAGCACCGGCUAACUUCGUG
rnacentral:rRNA from 1 species